rnacentral:rRNA from 1 species
UACGUAGGGUGCUAGCGUUGUCCGGAUUUAUUGGGCGUAAAGGGCUCGUAGGCGGCCAACUAAGUCGGAUGUGAAAUCCCCAGGCUUAACCUGGGAACUGCGUCCGAUACUGGAUGGCUUGAAUUCGGGAGAGGGAUGCAGAAUUCCAGGUGUAGCGGUGAAAUGCGUAGAUAUCUGGAGGAAUACCGGUGGCGAAGGCGGCAUCCUGGACCGACAUUGACGCUGAUGAGCGAAAGCUAGGGGAGCAAACGGG